rnacentral:rRNA from 1 species
UACGAAGGGGGCUAGCGUUGCUCGGAAUCACUGGGCGUAAAGGGUGCGUAGGCGGGUAUUUAAGUCAGAGGUGAAAUCCUGGAGCUCAACUCCAGAACUGCCUUUGAUACUGAGUAUCUUGAGUACGGGAGAGGUGAGUGGAACUGCGAGUGUAGAGGUGAAAUUCGUAGAUAUUCGCAAGAACACCAGUGGCGAAGGCGGCUCACUGGCCCGUUACUGACGCUGAGGCACGAAAGCGUGGGGAUCAAACAGG